rnacentral:rRNA from 3 species
UACGGAGGUGGCGAGCGUUGUCCGAAGUUACUGGGCGUAAAGCGCGCGUAGGCGGGGAACCAAGUCCGCUGUGAAAGCCUGAGGCUCAACCUCAGCGGGUCGGUGGAUACUGGUUCUCUUGAAGGUGCUAGGGGGAGAUGGAAUUACAGGUGUAGCGGUGAAAUGCGUAGAUAUCUGUAGGAACACCAGUGGCGAAGGCGGUCUCCUGGGGCAUUCUUGACGCUGAGGCGCGAAAGCUGGGGGAGCGAACGGG